ensembl:lincRNA RIKEN cDNA E230013L22 gene
GAUUCCAUCUCUACUUCCCAGUCGCCUUACAUCCAGCAGAGUGGUCCAACGCUCUCUGACUCAGUUUCCUCGUUCAUAAAUAGGUCGGUAAUAGCAGCGGUGCUCAACUCCCAAGGCUGCUUUGUACACCAAAGGAGGGCACCCUGAGGGGGACAGUAAAGCACCUAAGAAGCGAGAGUCGUACUGAUCGGAGAUCUCUCCCAGGAUAACCCGAAUCUUCGCGAAGACGCACAGAGUGCUGCUGAACUGGAGAUUUUCUCAAUCGGCAAAGCAAGGCAAGUGGGAACAGAGGUGCAAUGAAUGUCACAGCCCAAAGUGGAGACCCCGCGGCUGCCCACAGACGACUCCUAGACCCCGCAGAGCCCCGAAGCCCGCCUGUCCCGGCGGCGCCGCCCUCACCUGCGGUGUCCCAUAUGGAGAUGUUGAAGGAACGCCACUGCUUCAGGUAGAAGGCGCCGCCCACGGUGCUGACCGUGUCCGGGAAGCGACGCUCCAUGUAGCGCUGCAGCAGCGACGUUUUACCCACGUUCAUGUCCCCCAGCAGUACGAUCUUCCCAUCCGGCUUCCGCAUAGCCGCGGAGGAGAUGACCCCUGCGCUUCUCGGUCACCCGCCCAGGAUGCCAGGGGACGCGGACCCCGGCCUCCAGGGACCCCGAACUCUAGUGGCCCUGGCCUGAGAUCCGAACUCGAUGAAGUGCCAAAGAGGAAGCGCGCCACAGCUCUGUACCGGAGUGUGAACGCAGCCCUGCGACCACUCCCCACCCUUUGAAAGCCUGUGUGUCGCCAAGUUUGGAGCCUAGGACCUGGAACCUAAGGUGAAAGUUCCAGAGCGCCUUCCUUCGGACGCUCCAGUUCCUCCAAAAGCCGGGGUAGCCGCGGAGAGGCCCAGGACAUGGUGUCUAGUCACAGGCUCCCUUGGCUCUGUUUCGCUUCCCAGCCUGUGCCCAGCGCUCCUCCUCGGUGCACCUUGGUUGCACCCACACAGGUGGAGAGUUGCCUGGCUGGGAAAGUCCCUUGGAAGUCGGCUAAGAUUUAAGGGAGGAUGUGGAUGGGUCGGGGACACCGGGAGAUGCCUGCUAGGUUCGCUUUUUACUUCUGCAAGAAACCUUGAAGGGAAAACUUGACGUUGCAUUUGCAGUGACUGCUAGAAAACAGCUUCCCUUUCUCCUAUAACAGAGAACCCCUGAAACCAAAAUCUUCCUCCAGGGGCACAAGCAUGCAGGGAGGCAGAGGAGAUAUUUGGGGCUGAGUAAAGCCCACCAGGUCCAGGGGAGGGAAGGGAGGGGAGACGACUCUCCUAGUAGCUUCUCCCUCUGCAAGUGCAGAGAGAUUCCACUGAGGCGAGAUGGCUACGCCUCAAGCUCCCUGCCUGAGAACUGAGGACCGUUGCUCUAGGGAAUGCGGGUGGGAAAGUACGUUCUGGGGCGUGGAAUGCUCACCAGCGUGUGAAACCAGCUCCCUCUAAGCCCCAGGCUUCUGCUAGCCGCCCAUCCCACCCCACCGCAUGCCCUCCCAGGGAAAUUUAAGUUACUUCCAACUUAUUAAGAGCUUGUUGCAUGAAAGUUACAGGGCCAGGCUGGAGGAGUAACCAGACGACAAGUCCCCAGAGUCUGAGAGAGAGAGAGAAAUGUAUGGGUUCUGUGUAAACAUCUAAGCUAGGAUCAAGGGUGGCAAGAGUCCCUACCCCUAUCUCCCUUCGAGGAUCUUCUGGUGUUGAGUUCUUCUAAUUUUCUCAGAGGUGAGACAUCCUAAUUUCAUGAUAUAAUAGCUGAGAGAGGUUACUUCCCAAUGGAGAUGUAGUUAAACAGAAAACAAGGAAAACCAAACACUUAAAAAUAAAACAACAUGAAAGCCC